GCCCAGUUUGAUUACAACAGAUUCUCUUUGUGAGUGCCUGCACACAUGUGAGUUCUCUCCCUUCACUGCCGCCUCUCCGGUUUGAUUUCGUUUCGUCCUCGCGUUCUGUCUCUGUAUCGUUGAUGUGUCGGGCCCUUGAUGUGCCGGCUCUGCCAGGGCCUCCUGCGGGACGCACACGCCUUCACCGAGUGCCUCGAGUCCUCGACACAUUUUGUCGAGAGUGCGUUACGAAGAAAAUAGAUGAGGAGGAGAUUGAAUCUUGCCCAGUAUGCACAAUUGAUGUUGGUAUUUCUCCUGAAGAGAAACUCAGGUGAAGUAGUUGUUAUUACUUAGUACCAAGGUUUAUGUAUACAACAUUCUUCCUUCAUCUUGGCAGAUGUGUUUAAUACACACGUGUAGUGUUAAUACCAUGUGAACAUGGAAACAUAGUAGUGCAUGGAAACAUUUCUAUGUACUUGGGCAGUAAGGUUGUAAAGAAAACAGAUUGUCAGAAUGGAGAAAACAGUAUAUUCGAUUAUCAGUAUGGAUAUAAGCCAUAUGGAAUCAUUUGCAAAGUAUAUAUGCCAUUCGGAUGAGCCAACAUAAUACAUGUAGCUUGAUCUUCUUGGUUGAAUCCUUAAAGAGAUAGGUCUUCAAGUACAUUUUCCUUCUGUUAUUGCCUUGUAAAUGUGUACCUUUUCAGUAGAGCAUUGUGAUCGCAGACAUCAUUUAUUACCCGUUAUGGCAGCAAUUGCACUUACAACCUUUAUAUAGCAGAUUAAUAUAUUAGGUUUUGCAACAAAAACGUCUCUCUAUUGUUAUUAUAUAUGUGAUAAGAUCUGGCCGUAUGAUGCAGAGCCAGGAGGAUGACUGCUCUUGAUGCAAGUCGUCAAGUAUGUACUCUUAUUUUAAUUUACUGCUAAAUAAUUUUCAUGUAUCGAGCACAUAUAAUUCAGCUCUUUCUAAUCUUUUUACGAAACUGGCAUUCCUAACUGUACAGUUCCUGUUGUGACCAUCUUUUUUUAACAGUUUGUCGAGAGUACAUUAUGAAGAAAAUAUAUGAGGAUGUUGAAUCUUGCCCAGUAUGCAUAAUUAAUCUUGGUAUCUUGGAGUACUUCUUACCAAGGUUUAUCUAUACAACAUUCUUCCUUCAUCUUGGCAGAUGUGCUUGUUAACUACAGUACACACGUCUAGAGUUAAUAUCAUGUGAACCUUCAGAGGUCAUGCUAUCAUCUUGUUUAGGUCAUCGUUAUCGCUAAUAUAGUACUGCAUAAAAACAUUUCUACAGACUAGGGCAGUAAUAAGGCUUUAAAGAACAACAGAUUGUUAGAAUCGAGAAAAUAGGCUAUUGGGAUUAUUAGAAUGGAAAAGCCAUAUAGAGUCAUUUGCAAAGUGUAUCUGCCAUUCAGGCCAGCCAACACAUUAAUACAUGUAGAUUGAUCUUCUUCGUUGAACCGUUAAAGAGAUAGGUCUUUAAGCUCAUUUUCCUUCUGUUAUUUUCCUUCUGCCUGCUACAUUCCUAUCUUUCCUGAAAAUAUGCCACAAAUACACAUGCUUGCUUGUUUUGUGAAGCAAAAAGCUCAGUGUUGCCAGCCAGCCGCUUAUUUGUUUCUUAAUGUCGUCAUGAUCCUGACUCAACUGUGCGCUUCUACCUAACAUGAUUGAUUCUUUCUUGUUUGAAGGCCUGACAGCAGUAUUCAAGCUAUCAGGAACAAGUUGUUUCCGCUUAAGAGGGCAGAAUUUGAUGCUUCUAAGGUUCCAACUGUUACAUCGUCAGUACAGAGGUUUCUUUCUUCCUUUGUAGUUGAAACCCCAAUGGUAUCUGCACAACCUGUUUUGACAGGAAAGAGAACCAAAGCUACAAGGACACCAGCAUCGCGUGUAACUUCUCUCAGUAAUAAUGGGACCAUGAAAAUAUGAUUACUGAGGAGACCGGGAAAAUCUCAGCACCAAAAUCUACCAGGAUGACAACAACUGUGAAUAAUAUGCAGAUUAAUUCAGAUAUAGUAGCCUCAAGCCAGGCUUCUCCUGAAGAUAGAAAGAAUGGCAAGACAAUGGACAUGGAAGGGCUCUGGAAGCCCUUGAGCAGUUUUCUUGAGGCAAGUGAGACAAAAUCGCUUAGAUCAAAUCUCAAAAGCCAUGCUGCUGCCGCCACGACAAAAUAGAACACUAACGGCGAACUCCCAGUAAGGAAGACAACACAACAAAGUGACUAUUACUGGAACAAAGGUGCACAUAAAGUAGGUGGAUGUUGCUUGCAUAACUAGUGUGAUCAACAUUUUACUUUGAUCCAACUCUUGCGCUUAGUGCUGUGGCAAGACAGGACACCCAAUUGACAUAAUGUGUUCAACAAUGUAUUAGCAUUGAUAGGGGUAGUGUGUGUUACACAAAGCAUAACACAGAGAAAACACGGAAUGUGUUCCACACACUAUUAGCAUUCAUACGGGUAAACCCAAAAUGAAAUCUUGAGAGUGUCAAUGGUGUCUAUGUAGAUAUGCAUAGAUUUAUAAAGAGGUUGGACUACUUUAUGCAUAUCUGUAUAUAUAUGUAACAAAGAAAGAGAAAUAAAUUUUAGG